GGGCGGUUAGCUCAGGGGUAGAGCGCCACCCUCACACGGUGGAGGUCGCUGGUUCAAAUCCAGCACCGCCCA
rnacentral:tRNA from 1 species